rnacentral:rRNA from 1 species
UUUGGGCGUUCCCCCUUCGGGGGGACAGGGUGACAGGUGGUGGCAUGGUUGUCGUCAGCUCGUGUCGUGAGAUGUUGGGUUAAGUCCCGCAACGAGCGCAACCCUGCCUCUAGUUGCCAGCAUUCGGUUGGGCACUCUAGAGGGGACUGCCGGCGACAAGUCGGAGGAAGGUGGGGAUGACGUCAAAUCAUCAUGCCCCUUAUGACCUGGGCUACACACGUGCUACAAUGGGCGGUACAAAGGGCUGCGAACCCGCGAGGGGGAGCGAAUCCCAAAAAGCCGCUCUCAGUUCGGAUUGCAGGCUGCAACUCGCCUGCAUGAAGCCGGAAUCGCUAGUAAUCGCGGAUCAGCAUGCCCGCGGUCGAAUACGUUCCGGGCCUU